rnacentral:rRNA from 1 species
UAGUUCAGACCGUAAACGAUGCCAUCUGGCGAUCCACCGGCGUUAUGUAUGACUCGGUGGGCAGCCACCGGUAAACCUUUAAGUCAGGUUCCGGGGGAAGUAUGGUUGCAAAGCUGAAACUUAAAGGAAUUGACGGAAGGGCACCACCAGGAGUGGAGCCUGCGGCUUAAUUUGACUCAACACGGGGAAACUCACCCGGCCCGGACACCGUAAGGAUUGACAGAUUGAUAGCUCUUUCUUGAUUCGGUGGGUGGUGGUGCAUGGCCGUUCUUAGUUGGUGGAGCGAUUUGUCUGGUUUAUUCCGAUAACGAACGAGACUCUAGCCUACUAAAUAGACAGUACUUCCUUAGAGUGCUGCGCUUCUUAGAGGGACAAGCGACUUCUAGUCGCACGAGAUUGAGCAAUAACAGGUCUGUGAUGCCCUUAGAUGUUCGGGGCUGCACGCGCGCUACACUGAAGGCAUCAUCAUGUCUAUCAACCUACCCCGGAAGGGGCGGGUAACCCGAUGAAACGCCUUCGUGAUUGGGAUAGGGAAUUGCAAUUAUUUCCCUUGAACGAGGAAUUCCCAGUAAGUGCGGGUCAUCAGCUCGCGCUGAUUACGUCCCUGCCCUUUGUACACACCGCCCGUCGCUACUACCGAUUGAGUGACUCCUAAAGGAGUUCGGACUGGGCCCUGUGCGGUCGCAAGACUGCGCAGGUUGCUUGGAAAGUUCUCCAAUGGGAUUUACUUAGAGGAAGUAAAAGUCGUAACAAGGUCUCCGUAGGUGAACCUGCGGAGGGAUCAUUACCUAUUCGACGAAAGUCGUCUAACAUUGGGCGAAGCACAGACGGACGUGGGGUAGCGCUUCUGCGUGAGUCCCUGUUUGUGCGACGCUAACGAGGCUGCGUCUGUGAUUGGCGAUGCUUAGACGGGACUGUGGUGGGGUCUCUGAUUCGCUAAGCUCGCUGGGCCGGCAGUCUCCUUAUGGGUUUCUUUACUGUUUGGUACCUGCGUUACUGAGUGGCUCGCGAUUUACCCGGUCGCAUGAUUGGGCCCAGUAACAAACUGUUGGUUGCGACCGACAGAUUGGUCCGCCUUUGAGACCGCUUGCUUGCUUGUCUGUUUCGGGCUUUGGCCUGCGAUUUUAAACAGACAGCCGAUUCUGCAAGCGCCUUGAAGUAGGAGUGACUGGUCUGUUCAAAGCUGACAGGAGGUUUAAAGAGCUGCCUGUUGGGAACGAAGUACUGUUCUCGGUAACCGCCUACUAGCCAGGUCUGGUUGGUAGAAUCGAACGCUGACUGUGCGUUCGUAGGUUAGCCACCCCGUGCGCUGACUGUGCGCCAAGGUAGCCGCCCGACAUCCCUUUAACUUCAUACAAGACUUAAGACCGGUACCUAUGCCGGCUCGGUUGUACGGCGUUCGACUGACUCUAGCGUCUAACGAUGCUUGUCGAACGUGCAGUCCUGACUCACCGAGCGGUGAACCGUCCUCUGCGGCUAAACGGCUCGGAGAUUGGGCAAGCUGUCAACUGUGUUGCUCCUUGGAGCGCGAUUCACCAGUUGACUGACUCCGCUUUCCAGUCUCGGACUUCGAACCGUUAGUUGGAGCGUGGCGGGUGGUUUAAAGAGUUGCUUGGUUCGCUUUCAAGUCGUCGCUCGUCGUGCCUUGCCAGCCGACGAAAUCACCGAACGGUGUAGGCGAGUUGUUGGCGCGACUCAGCCAGGCAACCGCCGGCAUUCCCUUUAACUUCUUGAAAACUUGCGUUCGCAGCUGUC